AUUGAACGCUGGCGGCAUGCCUUACACAUGCAAGUCGAACGGCAGCAUGGGUGCUUGCACCUGAUGGCGAGUGGCGAACGGGUGAGUAAUGCAUCGGAACGUGCCCUGAAGUGGGGGAUAACGUAGCGAAAGUUACGCUAAUACCGCAUAUUCUGUGAGCAGGAAAGCAGGGGAUCGCAAGACCUUGUGCUUUAGGAGCGGCCGAUGUCGGAUUAGCUAGUUGGUGAGGUAAAGGCUCACCAAGGCGACGAUCCGUAGCGGGUCUGAGAGGAUGAUCCGCCACACUGGGACUGAGACACGGCCCAGACUCCUACGGGAGGCAGCAGUGGGGAACUUUGGACAAUGGGCGCAAGCCUGAUCCAGCCAUGCCGCGUGAGUGAAGAAGGCCUUCGGGUUGUAAAGCUCUUUCGGUGGGGAAGAAAUGGUUUCGGUUAAUACCCGGAAUUGAUGACGGUACCCGCAUAAGAAGCACCGGCUAACUACGUGCCAGCAGCCGCAGUAA
rnacentral:rRNA from 1 species